AGAGUUUGAUCCUGGCUCAGAUUGAACUCUGGCGGCAGGCCUAACACAUGCAAGUCGAGCGGUAGCACAGAGAGCUUGCUCUCGGGUGACGAGCGGCGGACGGGUGAGUAAUGUCUGGGAAACUGCCUGAUGGAGGGGGAUAACUACUGGAAACGGUAGCUAAUACCGCAUAACGUCGCAAGACCAAAGUGGGGGACCUUCGGGCCUCAUGCCAUCAGAUGUGCCCAGAUGGGAUUAGCUGGUAGGUGGGGUAACGGCUCACCUAGGCGACGAUCCCUAGCUGGUCUGAGAGGAUGACCAGCCACACUGGAACUGAGACACGGUCCAGACUCCUACGGGAGGCAGCAGUGGGGAAUAUUGCACAAUGGGCGCAAGCCUGAUGCAGCCAUGCCGCGUGUGUGAAGAAGGCCUUCGGGUUGUAAAGCACUUUCAGCGGGGAGGAAGGCGGUGAGGUUAAUAACCUCAUCGAUUGACGUUACCCGCAGAAGAAGCACCGGCUAACUCCGUGCCAGCAGCCGCGGUAAUACGGAGGGUGCAAGCGUUAAUCGGAAUUACUGGGCGUAAAGCGCACGCAGGCGGUCUGUCAAGUCGGAUGUGAAAUCCCCGGGCUCAACCUGGGAACUGCAUUCGAAACUGGCAGGCUAGAGUCUUGUAGAGGGGGGUAGAAUUCCAGGUGUAGCGGUGAAAUGCGUAGAGAUCUGGAGGAAUACCGGUGGCGAAGGCGGCCCCCUGGACAAAGACUGACGCUCAGGUGCGAAAGCGUGGGGAGCAAACAGGAUUAGAUACCCUGGUAGUCCACGCUGUAAACGAUGUCGAUUUGGAGGUUGUGCCCUUGAGGCGUGGCUUCCGGAGCUAACGCGUUAAAUCGACCGCCUGGGGAGUACGGCCGCAAGGUUAAAACUCAAAUGAAUUGACGGGGGCCCGCACAAGCGGUGGAGCAUGUGGUUUAAUUCGAUGCAACGCGAAGAACCUUACCUGGUCUUGACAUCCACAGAACUUUCCAGAGAUGGAUUGGUGCCUUCGGGAACUGUGAGACAGGUGCUGCAUGGCUGUCGUCAGCUCGUGUUGUGAAAUGUUGGGUUAAGUCCCGCAACGAGCGCAACCCUUAUCCUUUGUUGCCAGCGGUCCGGCCGGGAACUCAAAGGAGACUGCCAGUGAUAAACUGGAGGAAGGUGGGGAUGACGUCAAGUCAUCAUGGCCCUUACGACCAGGGCUACACACGUGCUACAAUGGCAUAUACAAAGAGAAGCGACCUCGCGAGAGCAAGCGGACCUCAUAAAGUAUGUCGUAGUCCGGAUUGGAGUCUGCAACUCGACUCCAUGAAGUCGGAAUCGCUAGUAAUCGUAGAUCAGAAUGCUACGGUGAAUACGUUCCCGGGCCUUGCACUCACCGCCGGUCA
rnacentral:rRNA from 1 species